UAUGGUUAUAUCACGUUGAAACACCGGAUUUCGUACGACCACCGAAGUUAAGCAACGUCAAGCCUGAUUAGUAACUAGAUGGGUGACCGCUUGGGAAUACCAAGUACUGUAA